ACCCAAGGGAUAGCUCAGUCGGUAGAGCACGAGACUUAAUCUCAGGGUCAUGAGUUCAAGUCUCACGUUGGGUG